UAAUUCUGGUUCUCUUCAGAUCUCUGAAGUUAAGGAACGUUGAACAUGGUCAGUACUUAGAUGGGUGGCCACUCGGAAAUUUCAGGUACUGUAAG